CGGGUGAGUAACGCGUGGGUAACCUGCCUCAUACAGGGGGAUAACGGUUAGAAAUGACUGCUAAUACCGCAUAAGCGCACAGUACCGCAUGGUACGGUGUGAAAAACUCCGGUGGUAUGAGAUGGACCCGCGUCUGAUUAGCUAGUUGGUGAGGUAACGGCCCACCAAGGCGACGAUCAGUAGCCGACCUGAGAGGGUGACCGGCCACAUUGGGACUGAGACACGGCCCAG
rnacentral:rRNA from 1 species